rnacentral:lncRNA from 1 species
GCUACUUCUACUUGGAUUUCUAGAGAGCAACGAGGAGAACAGCAAGAAGAGGACAAGGCGAAGACAAUUGUAAAAUAUUUCUUUUUCCAAUUGAUCAUAUUUCUUUGAAAACACGAACCUGGUAAUAGCUUCUCGUCCUCGUUCUCGCGAACAGCACAAACGUUGCUCGUUGAUGGGGUUGCGACACAAGGAAAACGAGUUAGGGAAAACCGAAGAGAACUCGAACCUGGUAAAAUGGAGCUUCUCGUUCUCGCCUUCAUGUCAACUUUGUGUCUUGGAUCGUUGUUUUCAUGUGAUCACAGCGUUGUCCAGUGAUCACCAUCUGGCUUCACCCUCCUGUCCUGUACUCAUCUUCGUCUUCCUAUCGAGUUUUAUGGUAUUGGACCGUUGUUUUCAUGACGCUUGCAUCCUUGUUAUCGUUGUUGAACAGUACCUUGUAGUCUAGAAAGUUGAACUACACUUGAUUUGUUUUGCAUUGUCCAGUGACCAUUGCGACUGUUCAGCGAUCACAACUCGUAUCAUUCUUGUCUACGUUGAGCACGGUGCGAAAAUCUCCUUUUAAGACUGUUCUUAAUCAAAC